AGCGAACGCUGGCGGCAGGCCUAACACAUGCAAGUCGAACGGACCCUUCGGAGUUAGUGGCGGACGGGUGGGUAACACGUGGGAACGUGCCUUUAGGUUCGGAAUAGCUCCUGGAAACGGGUGGUAAUGCCGAAUGUGCCCUUCGGGGGAAAGAUUUAUCGCCUUUAGAGCGGCCCGCGUCUGAUUAGCUAGUUGGUGGUGUAACGGACCACCAAGGCGACGAUCAGUAGCUGGUCUGAGAGGAUGAUCAGCCACAUUGGGACUGAGACACGGCCCAAACUCCUACGGAAGGCAGCAGUGGGGAAUCUUGCGCAAUGGGCGAAAGCCUGACGCAGCCAUGCCGCGUGAAUGAUGAAGGUCUUAGGAUUGUAAAAUUCUUUCACCGGGGACGAUAAUGACGGUACCCGGAGAAGAAGCCCCGGCUAACUUCGUGCCAGCAGCCGCAGUAAGAC
rnacentral:rRNA from 1 species